GGACAUUACCGAGUUUACAACUCCCAAACCCCUGUGAACAUACCUAUACGUUGCCUCGGCGGAUCAGCCCGCGCCCUGUAAAAAGGGACGGCCCGCCCGAGGACCCUAAACUCUGUUUUUAGUGGAACUUCUGAGUAAAACAAACAAAUAAAUCAAAACUUUCAACAACGGAUCUCUUGGUUCUGGCAUCGAUGAAGAACGCAGCAAAAUGCGAUAAGUAAUGUGAAUUGCAGAAUUCAGUGAAUCAUCGAAUCUUUGAACGCACAUUGCGCCCGCCAGUAUUCUGGCGGGCAUGCCUGUUCGAGCGUCAUUUCAACCCUCAAGCUCAGCUUGGUGUUGGGACUCGCGGUAACCCGCGUUCCCCAAAUCGAUUGGCGGUCACGUCGAGCUUCCAUAGCGUAGUAAUCAUACACCUCGUUACUGGUAAUCGUCGCGGCCACGCCGUAAAACCCCAACUUCUGAAUGUUGACCUCGGAUCAGGUAGGAAUACCCGCUGAACUUAAGCAUAUCAAUAAGCGGAGGGAAAAAAACCAACAGCGGAG
rnacentral:rRNA from 1 species